rnacentral:rRNA from 1 species
AUUGAACGCUGGCGGAAUGCUUUACACAUGCAAGUCGAACGAUGAACCUUAGUUUGCUAAGGGGAUUAGUGGCGAACGGGUGAGUAAUGUAUCGGAACGUAUCCAAUAAUGGGGGAUAACUAGUCGAAAGAUUAGCUAAUACCGCAUACGUCCUACGGGAGAAAGCUAGGGACCUUCGGGCCUGGCGUUAAUGGAGCGGCCGAUAUCUGAUUAGCUAGUUGGUGGGGUAAAGGCUCACCAAGGCGACGAUCAGUAGCUGGUCUGAGAGGACGACCAGCAACACUGGAACUGAGACACAGUCAAGACUCCUACGGGAGGCAGCAGUGGGGAAUGUUGGACAAUGGGCGAAAGCCUGAUCCAGCCAUUCCGCGUGAGUGAAGAAGGCCUUCGGGUUGUAAAGCUCUUUCGCAAGGGAAGAAAACUUAAGCUCUAACAUAGCUUGAGGUUGACGGUACCUUGAUAAGAAGCACCGGCUAACUACGUGCCAGCCGCCGCAGUAA